AGUCGCGCAAGUGAGUAGCAGAGCCGGUCCAGAACCCAGGAAUUCGGGUCCAGUCCGAAACUCAUUUCAGGACUUAGAAUUGCCUAAUUCUCGUGUUUGUUUGCCUGCGCUCUUUGAAGCCUGCAAGCUUCUAGGAAAUGCAAUAAAAUAGAGGGAUGUGUUUUAUCAUCAAGAUCUGAAGAGGAGCUGCAGAAGGGACGCUCCCCAUGCGCCCAGCUCGCGACAGCCUUCCAGAAAGAGCCGGCAGACAAUGCCAACAAACUACGUCCCUAAGCAGAGAUAUCUCGGUCAUCCAGGCUGGACUGGGCUCUGCCUUUGCAAAAAGGCUGCCGGGGGAGGGGAGCGGCAUGAUGUCCCCAAGCAAACAAUGCCUUUAAAAAUCCGAUCUGGACAGAAGUCAGCCAAGGUCUUUAUUCACCUUAAUGAAGAUGGAAGGCACUAACUGUCCUUGGAAAGCGAUGAGUCAAACUUGACCGCUCUUCAAACACAUCCCCAGA